UAAAAUGCUUUGAGUAGGAAGAGUACGUACAGAGCCUUUAAGAGAGAAGAAUCCUUGGCUGAAAGAUUCUUUAAGGGGUAUGUAGGGAAGGUCGCCUAGGAGCUAUUUAGCUGAAGUUUGAGUAAGCUAAGUCGGGAUAACCCGUUAUCUAAUUGAGUGUACAUGAUUGAAUGUUGGAUCAUGUAAACAAAGGUGGUACCGCGAAUAAACUCUCUUCGUCCUUUGG
rnacentral:ncRNA from 1 species